rnacentral:rRNA from 1 species
CCGGCACGGGUGAGUAACACGUAUCCAACCUGCCGUCUACUCUUGGACAGCCUUCUGAAAGGAAGAUUAAUACAAGAUGGCAUCAUGAGUCCGCGUGUUCGCAUGAUUAAAGGUAUUCCGGUAGACGAUGGGGAUGCGUUCCAUUAGAUAGUAGGCGGGGUAACGGCCCACCUAGUCUUCGAUGGAUAGGGGUUCUGAGAGGAAGGUCCCCCACAUUGGAACUGAGACACGGUCCAA